GCGGACGGGUGAGUAACGCGUGAGAACCUGCCCUAGGGAUGGGGACAACAGCGGGAAACCGCUGCUAAUACCCAAUAAGCCGAGAGGUGAAAAAAUUUUGCCCGAGGAGGGGCUCGCGUCUGAUUAGCUAGUUGGUAGAGUAAAAGCCUACCAAGGCGACGAUCAGUAGCUGGUCUGAGAGGAUGAGCAGCCACACUGGGACUGAGACACGGCCCAGACUCCUACGGGAGGCAGCAGUGGGGAAUUUUCCGCAAUGGGCGAAAGCCUGACGGAGCAAUACCGCGUGAGGGAGGAAGGCCCUUGGGUUGUAAACCUCUUUUCUCAGGGAAGAAGCAAGUGACGGUACCUGAGGAAUCAGCCUCGGCUAACUCCGUGCCAGCAGCCGCGGUAAUACGGAGGAGGCAAGCGUUAUCCGGAAUUAUUGGGCGUAAAGAGUCCGUAGGUGGCCUUUCAAGUCUGCCGUUAAAGACCAGAGCUCAACUCUGGGCAGGCGGUGGAAACUGAGAGGCUAGAGCUCGGUAGGGGUAGAGGGAAUUCCCCGUGUAGCGGUGAAAUGCGUAGAGAUGGGGAAGAACACCAGUGGCGAAAGCGCUCUACUGGACCGGGACUGACACUGAGGGACGAAAGCUAGGGGAGCGAAAGGGAUUAGAUACCCCUGUAGUCCUAGCCGUAAACGAUGGAUACUGGGCGUGGCUUGUAUCGACCCGAGCCGUGCCGAAGCUAACGCGUUAAGUAUCCCGCCUGGGGAGUACGCACGCAAGUGUGAAACUCAAAUGAAUUGACGGGG
rnacentral:rRNA from 1 species